UAGAAGGAAGUUUUCUUCCUUUAGGAAUAUUUUAGAAACCGACUUCAGAAAAAUAAUGCAUAAUGCCUGAUAAUAAACAACUCAGUUUCUUUUGUGAAGAACUCUAAGAUCAGGGGCUGAAUCAGCAAGAGCUGGUGAAACUACAUCUUUACCCUUUAUCCUCCUUUUUGGAAAAAUUAUUCUUUCGAAACAUCAACUCUUUUGGCCUGAUGUUCAGGUCCCUGUCACUGGGUUUGCCUGGCUGACGGCAAAAAAUCAUAGGCUGAGGUACCAAUCUAGGAGACUGAAAUAAGAGUAGGGAUUAGGUGGAGAAGAAGGAAACUCUUUCUCCCUAUAUUCUUGCUUAGUUAAUACCUAAUGGCUUUUUAAGGGGUUGCAAGUAUAGUUUAAUAAAAAUGUGCCAAUAUCUAGCAGCAAAGGCACUCUGCCAACAUCAUAAGCCCCUCUGCACCUGCUCUGGCGUAAUAACUUUGAUAAGAACUACUCAUUACUGAGCACCUAUUGUAAGACUCUAUAAUCCUUCCAACAACCUGAUUAUUCCAAUGAAGACAUAGCUAUUCAGAAGACAUAACAAUUCAGAGCCAGGACUGUUUGCCUUGAAGUACAUGUUUUUCCUUGUCUACUUUCUCUCUCUUCCUCUCCUCUUUCUCCUCUAGUACUUUUCAGAUUCCUGCCUUUUCCUUCUAGCCCACCUGGAUUUCAGGCCAGCCUUUAUACCCAUCCCAGGUGCAUCACCGAUCCCCAUGGCUUUAAGAUCUCCUGUUCCCAUGGCCCUGCACCUGGUGGACUGAGAGGGAUGCCAGCUGCUCUUUCUUUGCAGGGCACAGAGCUCUGAGUAGCACACCAAGAUGUGCAGGAACCUGGAAGCUGAGAACCCUUACAUAUUCUGAGUCUCUGAGUCAUUGAAGAAAAAGAAGGUGAGGUCACAGUGAGAAGGUGGCCAUCUACAAGCCAGAAAGGGACAGCUAUCACCAGAAACCGACCAUCAACCAUGCUAGCAUCCUGAUCUUGAACUUCCAUCCUCCAGAACUUCACAAGAUGUUGGUGUGUGAGCCGUGCAGUGA